GAUAAGAAGUGUGAGAAUACUUACAAGGGGAGAUAGAGUCAACGUUUGUAAUGGCUCAGCCAUUCCCAGUCCUUAUUCAAUCCUAAAUUGAUUGUAUCUAGUUUGCAUAUCAAUUCCAGCUCAGCAGUCUCUCGUUGGAGUCUGUUUUUGAAGUUUUUCUGUUGUAAUAUAGCCACCCGCAGGUCUGACAUUGAAUGGCCAGACAGGUUAAAGUGUUCUCCCACUGGUUUUUGAGUAUUAUGAUUCCUGAUGUCAGAUUUGUGUCCAUUAAUUCUUUUGCGUAGAUCAUAAUACUGUCUGGACCUCCGGCCUGGGCUCCUCGGCCCUUCGCUUGGGACACCCACGAGUCUGAGUCCAAAGUGUUCCCCGCCCGUCCCCGUCUAGUAGCAUCCAUCACAGUCCUGUUCUCACAGACACCUGCACCCAGAAAUCCUCCAACUUCUGCCCAGCCCCGCGGAGCCUCCUGGGGCCUGGAGAGUGACAGAAGCCAAGCGUUAUGACCUAUGGUGUUGGUGUAAAUUUCACCCCCCCACGCACAUACACUCACGUCUCCUGUUGUUUUUAUUCACUCAGCUUCUCCAGCGACGGAGGUGAUCGUAAAUACUGCGACCGCCACCCCACCCCCGACAGCUGCCCAAAGUCCGGCGAUGCCAGGCACCACCUCUGCAGCGCACGCCCCAGGCGAGCCAACUGGAAUCACAGAUACAGCCACUACUGCAGAGACAGUCGUGUUUCUCACUCGUCUUGUGACCAACAGCCCAGAUGAGACACAGCAAACAGUGGGCACCAUUAUCAUAGUGGAAACACUCACACCUGGCCAUGCCGGAGGUGGGCCCACCCAGGCCUCAGUUUCCCUUCUAGGCAUUAGCCCAGCUACGGCCUCUGCAACAGCCGUCAGCACUCCACUAGAAGAGACAGUCGGUGUUUCUGGUCAAGCAGCUCCCACCACAAAUGCAGCAAGUUCCACCCCCAUGGCAGACAUGCCGACAGCUGUCUUCUCGACCCUGGCCCCAGAGGAGACCUGGAGUACGGUGGGCUCCUUCAGUACAGCAGAGCCAUCCAGAGGUGUCCCCAUGACGACCGAGCUAGCUGACAGUACAGCAGCCACGCAUGCCACUGUCACGAGACGCCCAGCAGAGACUGAAACGACGGUGAUCAGCAUCGUACCAGCAGACGCUGCGACAGCCACCCCUGUCAGCACCACCCUUCCCAGUGCCAUAGCAACCUCUGCAACACCCACGGAAACAAGUACCGCAGCAGAGACCACCAGGCCUGCCUCUGUGCCAACUACCCCCAGUGCCACCAUGACGAGAGGGGGUCAGGCUGUAGUAGUACAAACAUUCACCACUGUCUUUUUCUCUAUCCCAGCUGAGCCCUCAACAGCAGAAACCACCGGCACGACUGCAGCAAAACAGACACUGGCAACUGCCUCUGACCCCUCUUUCGUAGUCAGAACCGUAACAGAAUGGGAGACAGCAUCCGGCGAAACUGAAACUACAGUGAGCAUCACAACAGCAGCGGGGAGCACGAUGGCACAGCCUGACCCCAGUGUCUCGGCGGGGAGCACAGGAACAGACCCUGCAGCUCCAGCGCUCUCCACCACAGACCCUCCCACCCCAGCGCCCAGUGAAACUCCAGCUGUACCGGCCACCACGACAGCAGCCACGGCCACUGGAGCAGCCACUGUCACAAGCCAGCACGUUCCAAGCACAGCCGCCGAAGCCACCACCCCCACAGCAGAGGCCAGCCCAGCAGCCCCACCUAUAGUGCAAUCCACACCAAAUGCAACCCCAGCUUUACUGACCACCACCUCGGCAGCAGAGACCACCAGAGCCACUCCUGACAUCACCCCACCCCUUGGAACCACAAAGACAGCAACCCCGACCACAGCAACCCAGGCUGUCCCCACGCCAGCUGACACGACACCCAUGGCAACUCUGACCAGCGCAGGAGAAACCACCGCAGCAACUCCAACAACCACCGCACCCCUGGAGACUGCUGCAGGAAGAGAGACACUCACAACAGCCUCUGUCGUUGCCACGCCAAACACAACCACAACUCAAGGGGCUGUCCCCACAGCGACAGAAACCAGCCCUUCAGUGCUUGUCACCCUCACCCCGCCGAGGGUGACUACCACGGCUGUUCAGACCACCGCACCAACGUCUGUCACCGCGUCCCCAAUGGAAACAGCAUCAACAGUGGGCUCCAGCACAGAAACCACCCCGGUGGCCAACAGCCCCACUGGUGUGUCGAGUACUGCAACAAGCGAGAGCACAGCCCCAGCUCCUCGCACCACGGCAGCAGAAAGGGGAACUUCAACGGGCACCAUGACAGAGACACUCAUCACCAGCACAACAGCUAAUACCACAACCGCCGUCAGCACCACUGCAGCAACAGAGGUUCCCCAAACACUCCGUACUACCACCGUCCCAGCUGGAAACACAACGGUUACAUUCCCAGCUACGGGAGGAGGGACAAACACAACCGCACAGGAUACCCCCCCACCGGCUCUAACUACACCUAUAGUGCAAUCCACACCAAAUGCAACCCCAGCUUUACUGACCACCACCUUGGCAGCAGAGACCACCAGAGCCACUCCUGACAUCACCCCACCCCGUGGAACCACAAAGACAGCGACCCCGACCAUAGCAACUCAGACUGUCCCCACGCCAGCUGACACGACACCCAUGGCAACUCUGACCAGCGCAGGAGAAACCACCGCAGCAACUCCAACAACCACCGCACACCUGGAGACUGCUGCAGGAAGAGAGACACUCACAACAGCCUCUGUCGUUGCCACGCCAAACACAACCACAACUCAAGGGGCUGUCCCCACAGCGACAGAAACCAGCCCUUCAGUGCUUGUCACCCUCACCCCGCCGAGGGUGACUACCACGGCUGUUCAGACCACCGCACCAACGUCUGUCACCGCGUCCCCAAUGGAAACAGCAUUAACAGUGGGCUCCAGCACAGAAACCACCCCGGUGGCCAACAGCCCCACCGGUGUGUCGAGUACUGCAACAAGCGAGAGCACAGCCCCAGCUCCUCGCACCACGGCAGCAGAAAGGGGAACUUCAACGGGCACCGUGACAGAGACACUCGUCACCAGCACNNNNNNNNNNUCAUCACCAGCACAACAGCUAAUACCACAACCGCCGUCAGGACCGCUGCAGCAACAGAGGUUCCCCAAACACUCCGUACUACCACCGUCCCAGCUGGAAACACGACGGUUACAUUCCCAGGUACAGCUAGCCCCACUGUGGCUGCACCGAGCACUCCAGCAACUCAGAACUUCAGUGCAGCUCCAACCACGGACUCCGCUGCUAGGCCUAACUCCACAGCCCGGCCCGGGAUCCCAGAUGUCACGACAGAAGAGCAGACAACAGCGGUGCCCAGCUGCCACCCUCCAGCUGCCAACACACGUAAGGGCUGUAACUGCUUGGGGCAAAUCCUCAUCCGAGUGGCCGGGCUGUGUGCUGGCAACCGAGGGAAAGGGGUCCUCUUGCCAGGCCACGCUAUGGCAACUGCUGCAUCCCCGGAGCCUCUGCCCUUGAACGGCUCGUGGAUCUGGGUAGUCGCAGGCCCACCAGCCCUGCCCCCGGCUGAUUCCUCUCCUCCCCAGCUACGGGGGAUCUGGCAGCAAGGGUUUCAGCCCAGAUAAGCCCGACAUUCCACAGGUGCCUUUGUGGUUUGUAGUUUUUAAUCCCCCUCCCCCAGAUCAGCUGUGCCAUAAAUUCAGAGAACUCGUCUCUUGCUUUCUAUGCACAAAGGGGGUCUGUUCUCCAGCCGGGGUCUCCGGGGAUUUCUGGCGAAGGACCAUGGACCAGGGCACGAGCUGAAUGUCCAGUUGCCGUUCCGGCCUGUCUCUGGGGAGCCGGAAAAGCGUUCUGGUACAAUCGCUUACAAGGGAUUGGUCUAGGAGACCCCGGAGUCCUCACCCACUGCCACCGGCAUGACACACAGUGACACACAGAGCCUGUGAAUCGAGGGCAGAGCUGGCCCCAAGGGUUGGUUUAGGGAUUAGAAAUGAGAGGAAGGGUGGUCUUGUGAUAAGGCAUCGGGCUGGCUUCAAUUCCCGGCUUUGCUGCAGACGCCCUGUGUUUCCUUGGGCGAGCGACGCAGGGUCUGUCUACACUGCAGUUAGACACCCGUGGCCGGCCCGGGCCAGCUGACUCGGGCUAAGGGGUGGUUCAUUGCGGUGGAGACAUUCGGGCUCCGGCUGGAGCCCAGGCUCUAGGACCCCAUGGGGUGGGAGGGUCCCAGAGCUCGGGCUGCAGCCCAAACCUGUCUACACUGCAGUUAAACAGCCCCUUAGCCUGAGCCCCACGAGACCCAGUCAGCUGGCACAGUGCAGACGUACCCUGAGUCUCUCUGUGCCUCAGUUCCCCAUCUGUACAAUGCUCUUGUCUAUUUAGAUUUGGGGCAGGCUCGUUCUCGUCCAAUAAGUAUGUACAGCACCUAGCGCCAUGGGGCUCUGAUCUUGCUGGGGGCGUCUAGAUGCUACUGGAAUGGAAAUGAUUGGUAACCUAAUAAUAAUUUGCUCUCUCCAUUCCU
ensembl:lncRNA